AUUGAACGCUGGCGGCAGGCCUAACACAUGCAAGUCGAACGAGUGGCGGACGGGUGAGUAAUGUCUGGGAAACUGCCCGAUGGAGGGGGAUAACUACUGGAAACGGUAGCUAAUACCGCAUACCAUCGGAUGUGCCCAGAUGGGAGUAGCUAGUAGGUGGGGUAACGGCUCACCUAGGCCAAGAUCCCUAGCUGGUCUGAGAGGAGGACCAGCCACACUGGGACUGAGACACGGCCCAGACUCCUACGGGAGGCAGCAGUGGGGAAUAUUGCACAAUGGGCGCAAGCCGGAUGGAGCCAUGCCGCGUGUAUGAAGAAGGCCUUCGGGUUGUAAAGUACUUUCAGCUGGGAGGCGUUACCCACAGAAGAAGCACCGGCUAACUCCGUGCCAGCAGCCGCGGUAAUUC
rnacentral:rRNA from 1 species